UACGAAGGGGGCUAGCGUUGCUCGGAAUCACUGGGCGUAAAGGGUGCGUAGGCGGGUCUUUAAGUCAGGGGUGAAAUCCUGGAGCUCAACUCCAGAACUGCCUUUGAUACUGAAGAUCUUGAGUCGGGAGAGGUGAGUGGAACUGCGAGUGUAGAGGUGAAAUUCGUAGAUAUUCGCAAGAACACCAGUGGCGAAGGCGGCUCACUGGCCCGAUACUGACGCUGAUGCACGAAAGCGUGGGGAGCAAACAGG
rnacentral:rRNA from 1 species